AAGUUCAUAACAGAUGCUUCGGUUGAAGUUAUGAGUGGAAAGCGGCGGACGGGUGAGUAACGCGUAGGCAACCUGCCCUUUGCAGAGGGAUAGCCUCGGGAAACCGGGAUUAAAACCUCAUAAUGCUGAAGGAAGACAUCUUUUUUCAGCCAAAGAUUUAUCGGCAAAGGAUGGGCCUGCGUCUGAUUAGUUAGUUGGUGGGGUAACGGCCUACCAAGGCGACGAUCAGUAGCCGACCUGAGAGGGUGAUCGGCCACAUUGGAACUGAGACACGGUCCAAACUCC
rnacentral:rRNA from 1 species